CGGGCGGCCGUGACCCUGCUGGAGUCCGGGGGGGACCUCCAGCCCCCCGGGGGGUCCCUGCGCCUUCUCUGCCGAGGACAAGGAUUCCAGUUUGGGAAUUUCACCGUGUUCUGGAUCCGUCAGAAACCCGGGAAGGGGCUGGAAUACGUUGCAGGGAUCCACCCUGGCGGCAGCACCGACUACGCGCCGUCGGUGGAGGGCCGGUUCACCAUCGCCAGGGACAACGGGCAGAGCUCGGUGACGCUGAGCAUGAACAACCUCCAGGACGAGGAUUCCGGGGUUUAUUUCUGUGCCAGAUGUUUUGAUGAUUAUUACGGUGGUUAUGCUGGUGGUGUUGAGGACAAUUGCGACUGUGGCCCCUCCACUCUUGAUGGAUCCAAAAACGUCUCCAAUUCCUGGGGCCGAGGGUGA